CGGGCCCUGAGGUGCUGAGGCCCCUCCCCGGCCCGGUCCGGUCCAGCCAUGACGGUACCACAGCGACGCCCGGGUGCUUCUCCGCCCCGACUGCGCCCCCCAAAUACCGCGAGGCCUGCAGGUGCCGCACAGCUGAUGUAACUGCAGUUCCAUGAAUUGCACUCCAGCUACGCAGACCCAGGGGCCUGGGACUCAGCCCAGCAGGCUCUCACUCCGCACCUGACUCCAGCUGUGGAGCAAGCUUAGCGGCAUUUCUGCACUGGACUCUCCUGUCUGAGCACCCAGAGGUCAGAGUGCGUGUCUGAAGGGAAGAACAGCAAGUGUUGAUUCCAGAAAGUUCACCGAAAGGAAAGAGCUCGUGCUCGCUCAGAGGCUAGUCUGUCCAGCUCUGCAUGCAGUCUAAGCACUCCUCCUCAGUCACUUAGCCACCCUGACAUUCCCAGGAGUGCCAAGCCCUACCCAGGAAGAGGAAACUGAUGUAGUACAGGGGCCAGGCGGUGGCGCACCUAGUUAAGCGCUCACACAGUGUGCAAGGUUCAAGCUUCUGGUCCCCACCUGCAGGGGAAAAGCUUCAUGAGUGGUGAAACAGAGCUGCAGGUGUCUCUGUGUCUCAAUUCCUGUCUAUCACCUCCCUCCCUUCUCAAUUUCUCUCUGUCUCUAUCCAACAAUAAAUAAAAACAUUUAAAAAAGAAAGAGAGAGAGAAGGAAGCUGGUAUGGAAGCUGUGGAGAAGGGGGACUAUCAGGAGCAAACUCCUUUGCCUUCUCUUGACUCCCUCCCCCUUCAGUCACCGUCCCUCCAUCCCCGUGUAGCUAAAAACUGGCGGUGAGUGGUGUAGGUAUGGUCUGGCCUCCAAGCUGGGCAUCAGCACUGCACACGCUCGACGCCCGCUCUAUUGCUUGGAGAGCACAACUGGUAAGUUUGUGGGGAGCUGUGGCAACGAGAGCAGGCAUACUCCUCUUACAAAGCCGCAUGACAUUAGGACUGGUGCAGAAACUUAUAGUUAGGCGACUCCCUGCAGACUCAUCAAUACCACACCUAGAAAUUACCCUCCCGCCAGAGGAUGGUCACAUGCAUGGCUCUCACUGCAGCUUGUGAUCACAGAAGUGUGAGGUGGGCGUGGUGAUGUCAUUCACGGUGUACAAAGGAUAUUGAUUGAUUACGUAUUCUGUGACAGAAGAUAUGAUGUGUUCAGUGGGAUGAAGACAACUGAAUUGUGUGCUUUGUUUCACUAACAUUUAUUUGUUUCUUCGUGUAAGAGAGAACCAGAGUGUCACUCUAGCAUACGCAAUGCUGGGGAUUAAACUCUGGACCUCACUCCUGAAAGUCCUGUACUCUGCCACAGAGCCAUCUCUUGGCCACAAAAGUUGCAAGCUGGGAGUCAAGCAGUAGCGCAGCGGGUUAAACACAUGUGGUGCAAAGCGCAAGGACCAGUGUGAGGAUCCUGGUUCGAGCCCCCGGCUCCCCAUCUGCAGGGGAGUCGCUUCACAGGCAGUGAAGCAGGUCUGAAGGUGUCUGUCUUUCUUUCCCCCUCUCUGUGUUUCCGUCCUCUCUCCAUUUCUCUCUGUCCUAUCCAACAACAACGACAGCAAUAAUAACUAUAACAAUAAAACAACAAGGGCAACAAAAGGGAAAAUAAAUAAUUUUUUUUAAAAAAAAUCAUGCAGGGAACAAUGGAAUAGUGAGGCACGAGGCCCUGCCACUGCAGAAAUCAACAGAUAGACAGACAGGCCUGAAAGAGGUGGGCCUGGGGGAGGGAGCGGUUGGUAGCAGAUGGUGGGCUUGUGAGAGAGUGCAGGCCCCACAUACACAAAAGCAUUGUUCUAGUCUCAGGCAGUCAGUAAAUACAUCUCCUUAUCUUCCUCCUCUUCUUCUUCUUCUGGUAGAGCAAUGUUAUGGUUUUGGUCUCUCUCUCUCUCUCUCUCCCUCUAAGUAAGCAAAUAAAUUCAUUCAGUGGUGGCCUGGGAGACAUCCCAGCAGGUGGAACACUGUUCCCAGGGGGACUCUGAUUCAGAGACAGACUGGGGAGAUACCACCGAGAGUGCCAGGGAGAUACCAGAGAUUUCCCUGGCACUCUCGGGUGGUGCUGAGGCUCGAACCUAGGGCUUUGCAUAUGGUACAGCCCACACCCUACCCAGUGAACUCUCUUCCCUGUGCUUUCUGCCUUAAUGGGGGGGGGGGGGGCAGAGAGGGAUACAGCUUUGUCUUUUUGUUCUUGUACCAGCCAGGAUCAGUGGGAACAGAACGGCUGGCUCCUAGCGCAAUGCUGAGGGCUGAAGAAGGGACAGUGCAGUCGUGGGCUGGGUCUCGGCUCUCAGGUCUCGGGGGCAGAAGAGCACGCUGGCCCCUCCGCUGAGCAGCCCUCAUCAAGCAAAGGCCUGGCAGGGCACAGCCCUCUUCCUGCCCUGGGGUCUCCAUCAUGAACCUUCUUUUUCAUUUCCUUUCUUCUCUUUCCUUUUUAUUUAUUUUUAUUUUCUUUAAAGGUUGUUUAAACUUUAUUUAAUUUGAUAGGAUAAAGAAAAAUUAAGAUGGAAAGGGGAAAGAGGAGAGGGAGCGAGGCAGACACUUGCAGGCCUGCUUCACCACUUUUCUCACUCGCCCACUGUCACUCUUCUCUCCCAGCACACUGCAGCCCCUCAGCUGUCUCCAACUCCCUUCCCAGGAGUUGGGGGGCUCCUCCACUCCCUCCUGGCUGCGUUCUGAGUGAUUGGCCACACACGUCCAGCGCUGACCCACAGGGGAGCAUUGGUCAUGCUGAGAGCUUGCUGCCAGGGGCCUGCAUACUCCCCAUAGACCCCACCACUCCCCCACCCCUGCAGGGCAGUGCCAGGGUGCUUCCUGAGCAGCCUUCACACUGUUGGCGACUGACUGACUGGCUCAGAUGUCUGGGACACACAGAAGCACUGCCCAUGUUGCUCUGAGUCCCUGCCCUUCCCUGGCCAUUCCCACUCCCUGAGAUUGACUGAGAUUUCUGCCCCUUGGAGUGCAUGUGCUCAGGACUGAAGGAGACAUCUCCUCACCUGCUCUGGUUUUUUUUUUUCCCCUGGUUAGACAUGAAAGGCUGGGCAGGGAAGACGGCAUAAUGGUUAUGUAAAAGACAUUCGUGUCUAAGACUGCAAAGGCCCAGGUUCAAUCCCACGCACCACCAUAAACCAAAGUGUAUGCUAAGCAGUGCUCUUGUCUCUCUCUCUCCUUUAUCUCAGUCUCUCUCAUUAAACAAACAGUGGUCUGGGAGGUGGUGCAGUGAUAAAGCUUUGGACUCUCAAGCAUGAGAUCCUGAGUUCCAUCCCCAGCAGCACAUGUGCCAGAGUGAUGUCUGGUUCUUUCUCUCUCCUCCUG